rnacentral:lncRNA from 1 species
GCCCUUUGGUAGGUGCGCUUUGCUUCCUAACCCGUUGCCGGGUUGGAGAUUCCACCUCCGAAGUUUUCUUUCUGACUUUUGAUUUUACAUUCCUAGUACAGUGGAGAAGCCCAGGCGGCCUAGAAUCCAGUGUCGUCCGUGAGUGCUUGGCUGGUGUUCAAGUGCAUCUUCCAGCCUGAGACCGCGUGGACUCGCUCAUCGUGAGGGCGAGAGGAGGAUAAGCCCAUUGGGCUGUCGGCUGAGAGUGAGACCAUCCACAAUAUUGUUUGAACAUCUGAAGACAUGGGGAACUUGCCAUCUGAUAUCUGAUAACAGACUUCCUGUAAAGCAGGACUGGUAGUUUCCUGAUAACAAAUUCUUCAAUAUGAAGGAUAUAGCUGUGUCCUUUACAACUGGUAGCAUGGAAAGAAAGAGAAGUCUGCAAAGAUUGAACAAACAGCAUGCACUGUGGUAUCCUUUAUUUAAAAAUUGUGAGCUGACUACAGUUGUAGUGUUCUCAUUUACCAUUCUGAUGGCAUAAUAAACCAAGAGAACAUUAACACAAUUCCAAGAAGGCAUUAACCUGUAACACACAUAUACGCCACACAUGCACACACACAACAUACACGCACACAAAGGUUAUAUUCUGAACACAAAAGUGAUAGAAAAAAGCUUUGAAUGCGCUAAAUCAAAUAAAAACCCUUUAUUAUAAUAAA